GACGAACGCUGGCGGCGUGCUUAACACAUGCAAGUCGAACGGAAAGGCCCUGCUUUUGUGGGGUGCUCGAGUGGCGAACGGGUGAGUAACACGUGAGUAACCUGCCCUUGACUUUGGGAUAACUUCAGGAAACUGGGGCUAAUACCGGAUAGGAGCUCCUGCUGCAUGGUGGGGGUUGGAAAGUUUCGGCGGUUGGGGAUGGACUCGCGGCUUAUCAGCUUGUUGGUGGGGUAGUGGCUUACCAAGGCUUUGACGGGUAGCCGGCCUGAGAGGGUGACCGGCCAGAUUGGAACUGAGAUACGGACCAGACUCCUACGGGAGGCAGCAGUGGCGAAUAUUGCACAAUGGGCGGAAGCCUGAGGCAGCAACGCCGCGUGCGGGAUGACGGCCUUCGGGUUGUAAACCGCUUUCGGCUGUGACGAAGCGUAAGUGACGGUAAUGGGUAAAGAAGCACCGGCUAACUACGUG
rnacentral:rRNA from 1 species